rnacentral:rRNA from 1 species
CACCGGUGGCAUGACCACCAAAUCCAUGCGGGCCGAAAUACGCCAACCCCCCGAAAGGGGGGGGAGGGAUAGUCUGCACCCUCAGUAAUGAGGGACGAAUGUGCGAGAGACAGUGGACAUCUGCUGUCUAUAAAUUCGGCUAUAUGCUGGAACACCCGGAAGCAUCCUGAGGUACUCGUUCGACGGUUCAGAGAAUCCGCGAGCAGUGACAAUCCUUCAGGUGACCCGGACGAUCAGCAGGGAAGGCUGGGCGAUAGACGUCCAGAACCCUCAGAGACUAUAUGCCGAACACCCGCCUACGAGCGGGUGAAGAGAUAGUCCGAGCUGCAUGGCGACAUGCAGAGUCAGGCAGAAAUGACCUGGCCUUCCGAGCAGACAGUGCUCGGGAGUAACACAACUGUCGGUCCCUAUCCGUCGCAGGCGCAGGAGGUUUGAGGGGAGCUAUCCCUAGUACGAGAGGACCGGGAUGGACGUACCUCUGGUGUGCCAGUUGUCUUGCCAAGGGCACGGCUGGUUGGCUACGUACGGCACGGAUAAGCGCUGAAGGCAUCUAAGUGCGAAGCCGGCCCCAAGAUGAGCCCUCCCACCGUUCGCGGUUAAGACCCCUGACAGAACAUCAGGUAGAUAGGCCGGAGGUGUAAGCGCAGCAAUGCGUUCAGCCGACCGGUACUAAUCGGUCGAGGGCUUGAGUCG